rnacentral:tRNA from 2 species
AAAAUCCGUCGACUUUAUAAGUUGUGAGG